rnacentral:rRNA from 1 species
UACGAGGGGGGGCGAGCGUUGUUCGGAAUUAUUGGGCGUAAAGGGUGCGUAGGCGGUUUGGUAAGUCUUAUGUGAAACUAUGGGCUCAACUCAUAGACUGCAUAGAAAACUGCCGGGCUUGAGUAUGGGAGAGGUGAGUGGAAUUCCUGGUGUAGCGGUGAAAUGCGUAGAUAUUGGGAGGAACACCAGUGGCGAAGGCGGCUCACUGGACCGGUACUGACGCUGAUGCGCGAAAGCGUGGGGAGCAAACGGGG